AUCAAAUCGGGCCCACCACGUUAUCUUUUUCCCUGUCCCCUGCGUCCUUCUCCUUCCCUUUCCCUGUGUCCUUUUUCUUUUCUCCCAAUCUUCCCCGGCUGCCAUGAAAGUUUGACCCGGCGAUCUCCUCCAGCGAGUCCCCCUCUUCUUCUCCGGCGAGCACCCUCGAAGCCGACCCCCGAGCCAAUGUCCUCCACUCGAUUUCCCUGCUGUCAACUGCAUCUCCUAUUGCUUCAUGGCGCCCGAAGCUACAAAGGGCAUGGCCGGCGAAGCUGCGUCCAUGGCUGGCGAAGCUGCGUCCAUGAUCGGAGCUGCGUCCAGGGCCGGUGAAGUUGCUUCCAUGGUCGGAGCUGCGUCCAUGGCCGGCGCCGCGCAAUACUACGAUGCUGUGAUAGGAGGCCACUCCCCUAGCCAUGGAUCUUUUGUUGUUGCUGGAAACAGUAAAUUUUUUUCCUACCAUCGGGUUGAUUUUUUGCUGGAACUAGUAUUCAUUCUUGUUACCACUCUCUCUGUUUUUGUUGGAAGCAACACAUUUUUGCUACCACGGUAUUUGAGUUUUGCUGGAACGAGCGCUUAGUUUUGCUACAACCGCCUUUUUGAGUUUUGCUAGAACCAGCGACCACUCCUCGGCCAUGGCCCGGCGCUGCCCAAAUGUGCUACGACCGGCGACCAACGGUGCUACAACCGGUAAGCAAAUUUGCUACAUCCUUUUUUUUACGACUUAGCUGCGACCCCCGACAACGGUGACGAAGUUUUGCUGCAUCUGUCGUCCUUUUUGCUACGACCGAUGUGACGUUUUGCUGCAACCAUUCAUGAGUGAUGACGACGCCGCGCCCUGAGCCGCGACGGCGACGACACUUUUGCUGCAUCGAUCUUCAUUUUUUUCUAUCACCGGCGUUGACGUUUGCUCUAACGUUGGCUUGUCAUUGGAGGUGGAGCUGCAAACAUUUUUUUGGAAGGUGGAGCUGCUGGACGGUGCUUCCUACAACAGCAAUGGCGACGGAUCAGGUACCGGUAUAGCCACGACCUCCACUUUUUUUGCUGUGCUUCCAUGGGCGUGGGAAGGGAAGCUUCGCUGGGAGAAUCGUUUCCGAUGGGGGAAGAAGAUAAGGCCUGAACGGUUGGAUCGGGCCAAGCCGAGGCGAGCUGCGGCCGUCGCCACCGCAGCUGUUGCAUGCGUGGUGUUGGCCAAAAAUGCAGGCGACGAGUGCGGCGGCCGGCGACGAGGAUGGCCGGCGACGAGGAGGGCCGGCAACCAUGGCGACCAGCAAGAGCGUGCGGCCAGCCAGAUGCGGAAUCAAGCGACUAUAUGCAGAAUCCAUCGUAGGGGCGUGCGUUGACGAAACAACAGCUGUAUCGAACGGUUAUACAUGCACCAAUCGGAUGGUUGCGGGCGGCUGGUCCGCCGGCGCCUAUCACCCGCCUUCCUAUACUUCGCCCAACUCACCCUUACCCGGACGCGGGCCCCGGUCUCUCAGCCGCCACGGAAAUCAGGUCAGCUCGGCAGAUCCAGAGGAGACGGACGGCGAGCUCCCGACGGCGACCCCCGACCGGUUCCCUGUUUGCAUCCGCUCGUCGUCGUGCGCCGUGUGCCGCGGCCCGUUCGCCAAGGCCAUGUUCGAGUUCCUAAACUGCAUCCGGAUGCACCAAGAUGCUGUCGCGAGCAAGCCAUCGUCCACGAUGAUGCUGUACUCCACAACCGCUGCAGGCACACCGUCGGUCUCGUAGAUGCUGCCGUCCAUGAGGUUGACGUCCCCAUCUUCCGUGCUUCUACCGCCAUCGUCCGCUAACACAAGGCUGUCGCCCCUCCAUGCCCUCAUCUUCUUCCACGUACUGAUCUUCCUCAUCUAUAGGUUGGCUCUUUCCUCCAAUAGAUCGGUUUCCUCGUCUGCCAUGGGGACGAGCUGGAGCUGGACGGAAAGAAGCAGGUGGAAGGCGGUAGACCCAAGUGGAAGCGGAGGGGUAAAAGGGGAGAAGAUGGGUGAAGAAAGCUUCUGCGCAGACUAUAGGGGGAAAAACUGAAGAAAGUUAGUAUAAGCAAUCCAAAAAUGAUAGGAGGGAGUACAAAACACUAACCAAAUUCUGUUUUGUAUGAGGAUUUAAUGAAGAGAAAAGCAUAUUCGAAGACUCGUAGUGGGCUGCUAUCGAUGGGACUGAACAAGUUCAAAUACUGUACAAGGAGCUUAAGGCUAGUCGCUGCGGGUGCUGCUAUUGGACUUGCUGUUGGACUUGGCGUUGGCUGGAAGCAACAGAAGAUUAAGUAGCCAAGUAUCGCUGUUACUGUACCCAAGGAUUACGAGUCGACGAGUCGUUGAGUCGUUCCGAGGUUGAGACUCAUAGACUAAUCGGACUAGUCUUAGACUAGUGCUAGACUAGUCGACAAAGUACUGUAGUAGUCAACUACUAAUACCUAGUAGCAGUAUGGAGUAGUAAACUGUACAACACAUUACAACAGAUACAAUAAAACCAGCAGUGCUAGCCAA